CAAGUCGCACGAGAAAGGGAGCAGUCCCAAGUAAAGUGGCGCACGGGUGAGUAACACGUGGAUCAUCCACCUUCUUGUGGGGAAUAACCUGGGGAAACCCGAGCUAAUACCGCAUAAGCCCGAGAGGGGAAAGCAGCAAUGCGCAGGAAGAGGAGUCCGCGGUCGAUUAGCUAGUUGGUAGGGUAAAAGCCCACCAAGGCUAUGAUCGAUAGCCGGCCUGAGAGGGCACACGGCCACACUGGCACUGAAACACGGGCCAGACUCCUACGGGAGGCAGCAGUGGGGAAUCUUGCACAAUGGGGGAAACCCUGAUGCAGCGACGCCGCGUGGGUGAUGAAGUCCUUCGGGAUGUAAAGCCCUUUCGACGGGAACGAUAAUGACGGUACCCGGAGAAGAAGCUGCGGCUAACUACGUGCCAGCAGCCGCGGUAAUACGUAGGCAGCAAGCGUUGUUCGGAGUUACUGGGCGUAAAGAGUAUGUAGGCGGUUGGGUAAGUUUGGUGUGAAAUCUCCCGGCUUAACUGGGAGGGUGCGCUAAAGACUGCCUGGCUCGAGUGUGGGAGAGGAAAGCGGAAUUCCUGGUGUAGCGGUGAAAUGCGUAGAUAUCAGGAGGAACACCUGCGGUGUAGACGGCUUUCUGGACCAUAACUGACGCUGAGAUACGAAAGCGUGGGUAGCAAACAGGAUUAGAUACCCUGGUAGUCCACGCCCUAAACGAUGCAUACUUGGUGUUGGCCAUUCACUUGGUCAGUGCCGGAGUUAACGCGUUAAGUAUGCCGCCUGGGGA
rnacentral:rRNA from 1 species